rnacentral:rRNA from 1 species
GACGAACGCUGGCGGCGUGCUUAACACAUGCAAGUCGAACGGUGAAAGCGGAGCUUGCUCCGCUGGAUCAGUGGCGAACGGGUGAGUAACACGUGGGCAACCUGCCCCUCACUUCGGGAUAACUCCGGGAAACCGGGGCUAAUACCGGAUAUGACCUCCUUGGGCAUCCUUGGAGGUGGAAAGUUUUUCGGUGAGGGAUGGGCCCGCGGCCUAUCAGCUUGUUGGUGAGGUAGUGGCUCACCAAGGCGACGACGGGUAGCCGGCCUGAGAGGGCGAACGGCCACACUGGGACUGAGACACGGCCCAGACUCCUACGGGAGGCAGCAGUGGGGAAUAUUGCGCAAUGGGCGAAAGCCUGACGCAGCAACGCCGCGUGCGGGAUGACGGCCUCCGGGUUGUAAACCGCUUUCAGCAGGGAAGAAGCCGCAAGGUGACGGUACCUGCAGAAGAAGCACCGGCUAACUACGUGCCAGCCGCCGCUGUAA